UGCUUGAGACCGCCUGCCCCUCGCAACGAACGAGUUCGAGCUACUACCCCAUCGGCAUCCUGAUCAGAGCCAUGUUCGGGGUUGGCGUUGAUGACAAUCCCGAGACUGUCAUUGCCGGGAUCGACCGGCUGGACAGCAAUCUGUCGGUUUUCUUGCCGCCAAUUCUCUCGCUGCUGGAUCUUAACGCUGAGGACCAGGAGUGGAAAAAGCUGGAGCCAUCGGAGCGACGGCUU
rnacentral:misc_RNA from 1 species